CUCUUAUCCAGAGAGGUCGAGGGACUGGCCCGAUGACACCCGGCAACCAGCGGCAACGCAUGGUGCUAAUUCCAGCAGGAGCAAUCCUGGAAGAUGAGAG
rnacentral:ncRNA from 2 species